GCCCGAGUGGUGAAAUUGGUAGACGCAGGGGACUCAAAAUCCCCCGCCGCAAGGCGUGCCGGUUCGAUUCCGGCCUCGGGCACCA
rnacentral:tRNA from 52 species